rnacentral:rRNA from 1 species
UACGUAGGGGGCAAGCGUUGUCCGGAAUCAUUGGGCGUAAAGCGCGUGUAGGCGGCUCGAUAAGUCUGCUGUGAAAGUCCAGGGCUCAACCCUGGGAUGCCGGUGGAUACUGUCGAGCUCGAGUCCGGAAGGGGCGAGUGGAAUUCCUGGUGUAGCGGUGAAAUGCGCAGAUAUCAGGAGGAACACCAAUGGCGAAGGCAGCUCGCUGGGACGUGACUGACGCUGAGACGCGAAAGCGUGGGGAGCAAACAGG